rnacentral:rRNA from 1 species
CCAGCAGCCGCGGUAAUACGUAGGUGGCAAGCGUUGUCCGGAAUUAUUGGGCGUAAAGGGCUCGCAGGCGGUUCCUUAAGUCUGAUGUGAAAGCCCCCGGCUCAACCGGGGAGGGUCAUUGGAAACUGGGGAACUUGAGUGCAGAAGAGGAGAGUGGAAUUCCACGUGUAGCGGUGAAAUGCGUAGAGAUGUGGAGGAACACCAGUGGCGAAGGCGACUCUCUGGUCUGUAACUGACGCUGAGGAGCGAAAGCGUGGGGAGCGAACAGGAUUAGAUACCCUGGUAGUCCACGCCGUAAACGAUGAGUGCUAAGUGUUAGGGGGUUUCCGCCCCUUAGUGCUGCAGCUAACGCAUUAAGCACUCCGCCUGGGGAGUACGGUCGCAAGACUGAAACUCAAAGGAAUUGACGGGGGCCCGCACAAGCGGUGGAGCAUGUGGUUUAAUUCGAAGCAACGCGAAGAACCUUACCAGGUCUUGACAUCCUCUGAC